UUCCGGUUGAUCCUGCCGGAGGCUACCGCUAUUGGAGUUCGAUUAAGCCAUGCGAGUCGCGAGAAAUUAGAUUCUCGGCGUACCGCUCAGUAACACGUGGGUAACCUGCCCUAUGCUGGAUAAUAACCUCGGGAAACUGAGAAUAAUGAUCCAUAGUUCACUACGCCUGGAACGGUGAGUGGAUGAAAGCUCCGGCGGCAUAGGAUGGGCCUGCGGCGUAUCAGGUUGUAGGGGGUGUAACGUACCCUCUAGCCCUCUACGCGUACGGGUGUUGGGAGACAUAGCCCGGAGAUGGAUUCUGAGACACGAAUCCAGACCCUACGGGGUGCAGCAGGCGCGAAAACUUGGCAAUGCGAGAAAUCGUGACCAGGGAACUCCAAGUGCAUGGGGUAAGACCCAUGCUUUUCUUGACUCUAAAUAGGUCUUGGAAUAAGGGGUGGGUAAGGACGGUGCCAGCCGCCGCGGUAAUACCGGCGCCUCAAGUGGUAGUCGCUUUUAUUGGGCCUAAAACGUCCGUAGCCGGUCUGAUACAUUCGUGGGUAAAUCAACCAGCUUAACUGGUUGAAUUCUGCGAGGACGGUCAGACUUGGGACCGGGAGAGGUGUGGGGUACGCUCAGGGUAGGGGUAAAAUCCUGUCAUCCUGAGCGGACCACCUGUUGCGAAGGCGCCACACUAGAACGGAUCCGACGGUCAGGGACGAAGCCUAGGGGCACGAACCGGAUUAGAUACCCGGGUAGUCCUAGGUGUAAACGCUGUGGACUUGAUGUUGGGGGUGCUCCGAGCACUCUCAGUGUCGAAGCGAAGGUGAUAAGUCCACUGCCUGGGAAGUACGGUCGCAAGGCUGAAACUUAAAGGAAUUGGCGGGGGAGCACCGCAACCUGAGGAUUGUGCGGUUUAAUUGGAGUCAACGCCGGA
rnacentral:rRNA from 1 species